AGGACGAACGCUGGCGGCGUGCUUAACACAUGCAAGUCGAGCGGAAAGGCCCUUCGGGGUACUCGAGCGGCGAACGGGUGAGUAACACGUGAGUAACCUGCCCUGGACUUUGGGAUAACCCUCGGAAACGGGGGCUAAUACCGGAUAUUACCUUCUCCUGCAUGGGGGUUGGUGGAAAGUUUUUCGGUCUGGGAUGGGCUCGCGGCCUAUCAGCUUGUUGGUGGGUGAUGGCCUACCAAGGCGACGACGGGUAG
rnacentral:rRNA from 1 species